AUUGAACGCUAGCGGCAUGCUUUACACAUGCAAGUCGAACGGACGCGCGGGAUUCGGUCUGGCGGCGUGUUGCGAGCGGGUGGGUAAUGUAUCCGAGCGUGCCCUGUCUCGGGGGCUAACUACGCGUAAGCGUAGCUAAUCCCGCAUACGCUCUACGUGGGAAACCAGGGGUUCGUAAGACCUUGCCCUUCUUGCUCGGACCAUGACGGAUUAGCUAGUUGGUGAGGUAACGGCUUACCAAGGCGACGAUCCGUAGCUGGUUUGAGAGGCCGACCAGCCACACUGGGACUGAGACACGGUCCAGACUCCUACGGGAGGCAGCAGUGGGGAAUUUUGGACAAUGGGGGCAAGCCUGACCCAGCCAUCCCGCGUGAGCGAUGAAGGUCUUCGGGUCGUAAAGCACUGUUGGCAGGAAAGAAACGAUGCGUGCGAAUACCCCGUGAAACUGACGGUACCUGCAGAAUAAGCACCGGCUAACUACGUG
rnacentral:rRNA from 1 species